AGAAGCCUGGCAGAUCCUGCUCAGUGGAGUUCUCCCAUGCAGGGGCUAUAUUUGCUUCUGCUUCCUGGCACCUGCUCAGGCUAUAGGCUGCUCUGGUACUUUACACACAAAGGGCCCUCAGUGCAGAGCUGCUCUUUUCAGAGGACAAGCAUCUUUCCUGAUCUGACCCGUUGGCAGGACCUUGACAAGCUCCUCAGCAACAAGCUCUCCUCUCGGUUGCUGCUGUUUGGGUGAGAAAACCCCAUAGACACAUUGCACCUCUCAGUCACCAGAUUUAUGUGCCUAAAAUUACGGCAGGAAGUUACAAGGAGAUAGACCCUCCAGAUAGGGACUGAGGCUUUGAAAUAUCUGGGCUCCAGCUGUGACUGGAGAGCAAACGGAAGGGUUUUGCAAGCAGCAUGUUUGCCUGGUGCAGCUGCCUUGUGUGGAGCCACGUGCUCCCAAAGGAGCUGCCUGCAGUGGUGCAAAGUGCCUGCAA